UACGUAGGGAGCAAGUGUUAUCCGGAUUUACUGGGUGUAAAGGGCGCGCAGGCGGGCCGGCAAGUUGGAAGUGAAAUCCGGGGGCUUAACCCCCGAACUGCUUUCAAAACUGCUGGUCUUGAGUGAUGGAGAGGCAGGCGGAAUUCCGUGUGUAGCGGUGAAAUGCGUAGAUAUACGGAGGAACACCAGUGGCGAAGGCGGCCUGCUGGACAUUAACUGACGCUGAGGCGCGAAAGCGUGGGGAGCAAACAGG
rnacentral:rRNA from 1 species